GGGCCCGCACAAGCGGUGGAGCAUGUGGUUUAAUUCGAUGAUACGCGAGGAACCUUACCAGGGCUUAAAUGUAGAGCGACAGAGGUGGAAACACCUCCUUCUUCGGACGGUCUACAAGGUGCUGCAUGGUUGUCGUCAGCUCGUGCUGUGAAGUGUCAGGUUAAGUCCUAUAACGAGCGCAACCCCUGUCGUUAGUUACCAGCAAGUAAUGUUGGGUACUCUAGCGAGACUGCCGGUGCAAACCGUGAGGAAGGUGGGGAUGACGUCAAAUCAUCACGGCCCUUACGUCCUGGGCUACACACGUGCUACAAUGGCCGGUACAGAGAGCAGCCACUACGCGAGUAGGAGCGAAUCUUCAAAGCCGGUCUCAGUUCGGAUCGCAGUCUGCAACUCGACUGCGUG
rnacentral:rRNA from 1 species